rnacentral:rRNA from 1 species
AAUUACCCACUCCCGGCACGGGGAGGUAGUGACGAAAAAUAACGAUACGGGACUCAUCCGAGGCCCCGUAAUCGGAAUGAGUACACUCUAAACCCUUUAACGAGGAUCAAUUGGAGGGCAAGUCUGGUGCCAGCAGCCGCGGUAAUUCCAGCUCCAAUAGCGUAUAUAAAAGUUGUUGCGGUUAAAAAGCUCGUAGUCGAAUCUGUGUCUUGCGCCGCCGGUGCAUCGCUCGCGGUGUUUAACUGGCGUGUCCGCGAGACGUCCUGCCGGUGGGCUUAGCCCGGCAACGGGCGGCCCAACUUGAAAUCCCACCGCGGUGCUCUUGAUUGAGUGUCGAGGUGGGCCGGCACGUUUACUUUGAACAAAUUAGAGUGCUUAAAGCAGGCUAAAACUUCGCCUGAAUACUGUGUGCAUGGAAUAAUGGAAUAGGACCUCGGUUCUAUUUUGUUGGUUUUCGGAACCCCGAGGUAAUGAUUAAUAGGAACGGAUGGGGGCAUUCGUAUUGCGACGUUAGAGGUGAAAUUCUUGGAUCGUCGCAAGACGGACAGAAGCGAAAGCAUUUGCCAAAAACGCUUUCAUUGAUCAAGAACGAAAGUUAGAGGUUCGAAGGCGAUCAGAUACCGCCCUAGUUCUAACCAUAAACGAUGCCAGCUAGCGAUCCGCCAACGUUCCUCCGAUGACUCGGCGGGCAGCUUCCGGGAAACCAAAGCUUUUGGGUUCCGGGG